GUGGGGAAUAUUGGACAAUGGGCGAAAGCCUGAUCCAGCCAUGCCGCGUGUGUGAAGAAGGUCUUCGGAUUGUAAAGCACUUUAAGUUGGGAGGAAGGGUAGUAACCUAAUACGUUGCUACUUUGACGUUACCGACAGAAUAAGCACCGGCUAACUUCGUGCCAGCAGCCGCGGUAAUACGAAGGGUGCAAGCGUUAAUCGGAAUUACUGGGCGUACAGCGCGCGUAGGUGGUUCAGUAAGUUGGAAGUGAAAUCCCCGGGCUCAACCUGUGAACUGCUUUCAAAACUGAUGCGCUAGAGUACGGUAGAGGGUGGUGGAAUUUCCUGUGUAGCGGUGAAAUGCGUAGAUAUAGGAAGGAACACCAGUGGCGAAGGCGACCACCUGGACUGAUACUGACACUGAGGUGCGAAAGCGUGGGGAGCAAACAGGAUUAGAUACCCCUGUAGUCC
rnacentral:rRNA from 1 species